rnacentral:rRNA from 1 species
CCUUGACAUACUAAGAACUUUUCCAGAGAUGGAUUUGGUGCCUUCGGGAACUUAGAUACAGGUGCUGCAUGGCUGUCGUCAGCUCGUGUCGUGAGAUGUUGGGUUAAGUCCCGNAACGAGCGCAACCCUUUUCCUUAUUUGCCAGCGGGUCAUGCCGGGAACUUUAAGGAUACUGCCAGUGACAAACUGGAGGAAGGCGGGGACGACGUCAAGUCAUCAUGGCCCUUACGGCCAGGGCUACACACGUGCUACAAUGGUCGGUACAAAGGGUUGCUACCUCGCGAGAGGAUGCUAAUCUCAAAAAGCCGAUCGUAGUCCGGAUCGCAGUCUGCAACUCGACUGCGUGAAGUCGGAAUCGCUAGUAAUCGCGGAUCAGAAUGCCGCGGUGAAUACGUUCCCGGGCCUUGUACACACCGCCCGUCACACCAUGGGAGUUUGUUGCACCAGAAGUAGGUAGUCUAACCGCAAGGAGGACGCUUACCACGGUGUGGCCGAUGACUGGGGUGAAGUCGUAACAAGGUAGGCGUAGAUGA